rnacentral:rRNA from 1 species
UGCCAGCAGCCGCGGUAAUACGGAGGGUGCGAGCGUUAAUCGGAAUUACUGGGCGUAAGGCGUACGGAGGCGGAUCAGAAAGUAUAGGGUGAAAUCCCGGGGCUCAACCCCGGAACUGCCUUGUAAACUCCUGGUCUUGAGUUCGAGAGAGGUGAGUGGAAUUCCGAGUGUAGAGGUGAAAUUCGUAGAUAUUCGGAGGAACACCAGUGGCGAAGGCGGCUAACUGGCUCGGUACUGACGCUGAGAUGCGAAAGCGUGGGGAGCAAACAGGAUUAGAUA